rnacentral:rRNA from 1 species
UACAGAGGUCCCAAGCGUUGUUCGGAAUCACUGGGCGUAAAGGGCGCGUAGGUGGCGCGGGUAGUCGUCGGUGAAAGCUCAGGGCCCAACCCUGAGUCGGCCGGUGAUACUCCCGUGCUUGAGUGUGGUAGAGGCCAAUGGAAUUCCGGGUGUAGCGGUGGAAUGCGUAGAGAUCCGGAAGAACACCGGUGGCGAAGGCGGUUGGCUGGGCCACAACUGACACUGAUGCGCGACAGCGUGGGGAGCAAACAGG